rnacentral:rRNA from 1 species
CAGUAGCCGCGGGAAUACGGAGGGUGCAAGCGUUACUCGGAAUUACUGGGCGUAAAGCGUGCGUAGGUGGUGGUUUAAGUCCGUUGUGAAAGCCCUGGGCUCAACCUGGGAAUUGCAGUGGAUACUGGGUCACUAGAGUGUGGUAGAGGAUAGUGGAAUUUCCGGUGUAGCAGUGAAAUGCGUAGAGAUCGGAAGGAACAUCUGUGGCGAAGGCGACUAUCUGGGCCAACACUGACACUGAGGCACGAAAGCGUGGGGAGCAAACAGGAUUAGAUACCCCAGUAGUCCCUGUCUCUUAUAC